rnacentral:rRNA from 1 species
UGUCCGGAUUUUUGGGCGUAAAGCGAGCGCAGGCGGUUUUUUAAGUCUGAUGUGAAAGCCUUCGGCUCAACCGAAGAAGUGCAUCGGAAACUGGGAAACUUGAGUGCAGAAGAGGACAGUGGAACUCCAUGUGUAGCGGUGAAAUGCGUAGAUAUAUGGAAGAACACCAGUGGCGAAGGCGGCUGUCUGGUCUGUAACUGACGCUGAGGCUCGAAAGUAUGGGUAGCAAACAGGAUUAGAUACCCUGGUAGUCCAUACCGUAAACGAUGAAUGCUAAGUGUUGGAGGGUUUCCGCCCUUCAGUGCUGCAGCUAACGCAUUAAGCAUUCCGCCUGGGGAGUACGGCCGCAAGGCUGAAACUCAAAGGAAUUGACGGGGGCCCGCACAAGCGGUGGAGCAUGUGGUUUAAUUCGAAGCUACGCGAAGAACCUUACCAGGUCUUGACAUACUAUGCAAAUCUAAGAGAUUAGACGUUCCCUUCGGGGACAUGGAUACAGGUGGUGCAUGGUUGUCGUCAGCUCGUGUCGUGAGAUGUUGGGUUAAGUCCCGCAACGAGCGCAACCCUUAUUAUCAGUUGCCAGCAUUAAGUUGGGCACUCUGGUGAGACUGCCGGUGACAAACCGGAGGAAGGUGGGGAUGACGUCAAAUCAUCAUGCCCCUUAUGACCUGGGCUACACACGUGCUACAAUGGAUGGUACAACGAGUUGCGAACUCGCGAGAGUAAGCUAAUCUCUUAAAGCCAUUCUCAGUUCGGAUUGUAGGCUGCAACUCGCCUACAUGAAGUCGGAAUCGCUAGUAAUCGCGGAUCAGCAUGCCGCGGUGAAUACGUUCCCGGGCCUUGUACACACCGCCCGUCACACCAUGAGAGUUUGUAACACCCAAAGUCGGUGGGGUAACCUU